rnacentral:rRNA from 1 species
AGGGGGAUAACAGUCAGAAAUGGCUGCUAAUACCGCAUAAGCGCACAGAGCUGCAUGGCUCAGUGUGAAAAACUCCGGUGGUAUAAGAUGGACCCGCGUUGGAUUAGCUGGUUGGUGGGGUAACGGCCCACCAAGGCGACGAUCCAUAGCCGGCCUGAGAGGGUGAACGGCCACAUUGGAACUGAGACACGGCCCAGACUCCUACGGGAGGCAGCAGUGGGGAGUAUUGCACAAUGGGGGAAACCCUGAUGCAGCGACGCCGCGUGAAGGAAGAAGUAUCUCGGUAUGUAAACUUCUAUCAGCAGGGAAGACAGUGACGGUACCUGACUAAGAAGCCCCGGCUAACUACGUGCCAGCAGCCGCGGUAAUACGUAGGGGGCAAGCGUUAUCCGGAUUUACUGGGUGUAAAGGGAGCGUAGACGGUGUGGCAAGUCUGAUGUGAAAGGCAUGGGCUCAACCUGUGGACUGCAUUGGAAACUGUCAUACUUGAGUGCCGGAGGGGUAAGCGGAAUUCCUGGUGUAGCGGUGAAAUG